UAAAGUAGGGGAGUGGGAAACUGGGAAUGAGGACACGCAAGUAUGGCAGCACAACGGGGCCCCAACCGUAAUCAGGCCCCAUUAUGCCAGGUGCUGCCCAGACACAUACCGAGAGACAGUCCCUGCUCACCUGAGAUCAGGGCCCCAUUGUGCCAGGCACUGCCCAGACACAGCCAGAGACAGGCCCUGCCCCAGCUAAGAUCAGGGCCCCAUUGUGCCAGACACACAGCGAGAGACAGUCCCUGCCCCCCUGAGAUCAGGGUCUCUAUCAUGCAGAGCAUACAACUCUGGUUUCCUGAGAACCAGUCGAAUAGUUGUUCUGGGCUGGAUUUCUCUGCCUCAGUUGACUGAUGUCCCCAAUUUACUGCCCUUCACAGUCAAUAUGAUUAGAUCUGACCCACAUUUCUUCUGACUGAAAAUGAAGCAUUCGGCUGUAAGCUCGUUGGGGUGGAGACUGUGCUUUUGGUCUGUGUUUGUACAGCCCUUGGCACAAAGAGGUCCUGAACCACCCCUGGGAUUCCAGGUGCUGUUGCAAUAGAAACAAUGCCACUAAUUACGGAAACGUGAGCUAACGAAGACCAUGUUAGGGUCAGAAAAAAGGAGAGACGACUCCCUUAGUCACACCAUGCAAUGAGGAGAAGGAGAAUGGGAAAGAGAUAGGCUCAUCUCCCAGAGUGGAGGGGCAGAUCCUGCUCUCAGUUACAUCAGUCUCAAUCUAGAGUUACUCCCCUGACUGCAAUGGAUUUACUCGGGUUUUACACUUGUUUGAGAGCAAAAUCUGACCCAGCGAUUCCAGACGCCAUUGCCUUGUCCUGGGGUCCAUAGCCUAGCUCUGUCUCACUCCCUCCCAUGGCGCCCAGCUUUUCUCUGACCUCCUUGUCUGUGCCUUCCAGGUGAGAGGGCACCAAAAGCAGCUCCCAGUGAAGGUAUCCGAAACCUUGUCUGUAAGUGAGUCUCAGGGCACCAUCAUGAUUGUCCAGGGCUCUAGAAUAAAGAUUCUGUUCAGCCUGAGCGGGAAGGUGACGGUGACAGUCAACGAGAGCCUGGCUAACAAGCUGUGUGCACCUUGCGGGAACUUCAAUGGCGACAUCUCCGACGACCUGCGGCUGCCCAGCGGGCAGGUCGUGGGGAACACCACGGACGUGUUUGAAGCUUGGAGGGCACGAGACCUCUCAAAAAGUGAUCUUUAAAAGCCACCUGAGCUGCAAUGGAUCCCGCCCCCUUUCCCUUCCCUGCAUUGGACUGGGCUGGCCAGUUACUCAGUAACAGGUCAUAGCUUAGCACACAAAGGUGUGUUCCUUCAUGCAGGGCUCUCCCUGCAGCGUGGAUGAGUUCAGUGGUGCCGGGUGCAUGACGGAAAAUCUCAUCUGGACUUGUCAAUAGAGACAUUUGCAAAGGUGUGUCUGAAGCAGCCGGCUCUGGCAGGCCUCGGGAACUGGCUUUCGUAUUCCGCUUGGAUCUGACUGUGCUAAGGUCCCUUCACAGCGCCUGUUAAGGCCUCUUUAUGCUGCCAAAGUGGAAUAAAGGAGCCUCAGCAUAAUGCGA